GGACGUGCUUGCACUGAAUGAGAUUUUAACACGAAGUGAGUGGCGGACGGGUGAGUAACACGUGGGUAACCUGCCCAGAAGCAGGGGAUAACACCUGGAAACAGAUGCUAAUACCGUAUAACAGAGAAAACCGCCUGGUUUUCUUUUAAAAGAUGGCUCUGCUAUCACUUCUGGAUGGACCCGCGGCGCAUUAGCUAGUUGGUGAGGUAACGGCUCACCAAGGCGAUGAUGCGUAGCCGACCUGAGAGGGUAAUCGGCCACAUUGGGACUGAGACACGGCCCAGACUCCUACGGGAGGCAGCAGUAGGGAAUCUUCCACAAUGGACGCAAGUCUGAUGGAGCAACGCCGCGUGAGUGAAGAAGGGUUUCGGCUCGUAAAGCUCUGUUGUUAAAGAAGAACGUGGGUGAGAGUAACUGUUCACCCAGUGACGGUAUUUAACCAGAAAGCCACGGCUAACUACGUGCCAGCAGCCGCGGUAAUACGUAGGUGGCAAGCGUUAUCCGGAUUUAUUGGGCGUAAAGCGAGCGCAGGCGGUCUUUUAAGUCUAAUGUGAAAGCCUUCGGCUCAACCGAAGAAGUGCAUUGGAAACUGGGAGACUUGAGUGCAGAAGAGGACAGUGGAACUCCAUGUGUAGCGGUGAAAUGCGUAGAUAUAUGGAAGAACACCAGUGGCGAAGGCGGCUGUCUGGUCUGUAACUGACGCUGAGGCUCGAAAGCAUGGGUAGCGAACAGGAUUAGAUACCCUGGUAGUCCAUGCCGUAAACGAUGAUUACUAAGUGUUGGAGGGUUUCCGCCCUUCAGUGCUGCAGCUAACGCAUUAAGUAAUCCGCCUGGGGAGUACGACCGCAAGGUUGAAACUCAAAAGAAUUGACGGGGGCCCGCACAAGCGGUGGAGCAUGUGGUUUAAUUCGAAGCUACGCGAAGAACCUUACCAGGUCUUGACAUCUUCUGCCAACCUAAGAGAUUAGGCGUUCCCUUCGGGGGACAGAAUGACAGGUGG
rnacentral:rRNA from 2 species